rnacentral:rRNA from 1 species
UACGUAGGGGGCAAGCGUUGUCCGGAAUUAUUGGGCGUAAAGCGCGUGUAGGCGGUCCGCUAAGUCGGCUGUGAAAGUCCAGGGCUCAACCCUGGGAUGCCGGUGGAUACUGUCGGGCUCGAGUCCGGAAGAGGCGAGUGGAAUUCCUGGUGUAGCGGUGAAAUGCGCAGAUAUCAGGAGGAACACCAAUGGCGAAGGCAGCUCGCUGGGACGUGACUGACGCUGAGACGCGAAAGCGUGGGGAGCAAACAGG